rnacentral:tRNA from 1 species
GUGGGUAUGGUGAAAUGGUAUCACUCCAGCUUCCCAAGCUGGCCGUGCGGGUUCGAUUCCCGCUACCCGCU